GCCGGCAGCCAUAUCACCCUGCAGCCCAAGACUGCUUGCCCACUGAAGCUAAGCAGGGCUGAGCCUGGUCAGUACCUGGAUGGGAGACCUCCUGGGAAAACUAGGUUGCUGCUGGAA
rnacentral:rRNA from 1 species